CCUACGGGAGGCAGCAGUGGGGAAUCUUGCGCAAUGGGCGAAAGCCUGACGCAGCCAUGCCGCGUGAAUGAUGAAGGUCUUAGGAUUGUAAAAUUCUUUCACCGAGGACGAUAAUGACGGUACUCGGAGAAGAAGCCCCGGCUAACUUCGUGCCAGCAGCCGCGGUAAUACGAAGGGGGCUAGCGUUGCUCGGAAUUACUGGGCGUAAAGGGAGCGUAGGCGGAUAGUUUAGUCAGAGGUGAAAGCCCAGGGCUCAACCUUGGAAUUGCCUUUGAUACUGGCUAUCUUGAGUACGGAAGAGGUAUGUGGAACUCCGAGUGUAGAGGUGAAAUUCGUAGAUAUUCGGAAGAACACCAGUGGCGAAGGCGACAUACUGGUCCGUUACUGACGCUGAGGCUCGAAAGCGUGGGGAGCAAACAGGAUUAGAUACCCUGGUAGUCCACGCUGUAAACGAUGAGUGCUAGUUGUCGGCAUGCAUGCAUGUCGGUGACGCGAGCUACGACAUUAAGACACUCCGCCGUCGGGUAGGUACGGUCGCGAGAAUUAAAACGUUAAAAGGUAAGUUAGUACGGACGUGAGACGUCGCCGACGGACGACGACGAGGGAGUUAGG
rnacentral:rRNA from 1 species